AUGCCCAGAGAGGGGGAGAGGCUUGCCUACAGUGGCAGAGGUAAUGAGGGAGUCCAGAUUCAAACCCAGGACCCAGGACUCCAAACAGACCAGCACCCCUUCCACUGCACCAUACUGCCUCCCAAGUCUAGGUGGAUCAGAGGUGGUCUGGCGGAGUCUGCCGGCCCAGCGUCUCUCCCGUGUCCUCUCCACUCACACGGCCCCCAGUCCGAUGCAGACCCUCAUCACCUCCUACCGGACCUUAACAGACAUUUGUUAGUUGGACCAAAAAUGUUGGCAAAGGAUCAUUCUUUGGCAAGGCCCUUCUUGAAAUGGAACUUCCCCAGACCAUCCCUGUUGAGUGACCGGUCAUCCACAGCGUUGGGGGCCACCUUGACUACUGUGGGAGAAGGGGCCAAAAGCCCAGCGUCCCCAGGAACCAAAAGCCUUCGCUGCUGCAGGUGGAGGAUGCCGGAGGCCUGGCAGGGUUCUCCCUGUCUGGCCCAAUGGCAGAUGUCUUUGGUUACUGAGAUCAGCGAGGAUGAGAUGAUGGCGCCCUUUUCUAGCUCAAAAGUAGACAUUCUCCUCCAGUACAUACACUGUUCUUUCGUUGUGUACUGUGAAUAGCCAGCCUCUUUUCUUUGUUUCCCACAGUUACUCUGAAUAAUGUUUAGCUUGCGAACGCUGCCCCAAGAGUCUGUAUGUGAGGAGACUCUUAGGUGAGGGCAGUGGUGGGUUGCUGUCCAUCUUCCAGUCUGUGCCAGAAGAAACAGCUCCUUGCUGCACUCUUAAUUGACUUCUCACCACUAACAUUCGACUGCCAUCUCGAGACCCAGACUGAUGAGUGAUAAUCCUCCUGGGUCUCUGAAAAAUCCCACCCCACGGUGCUGGAGCUGUCCUCUUUUUAGGAUCCAGGCUUAGUCAAUUCUCCAUAUGUGGCCACUCGUAUAAAACUCCUUCCCAGAGGCUUGGACAAGUGGCAAGGGAAAAGGCCCCUCCUUGCUAAUUUCCCAUGAUGCAACCUGCAAGUGGGUUUCCUUAAAUGCUGAUUUAAUGAGGCUUAAUUGUCUCUGCCUGGGGCUGCCCGGACUGAUUAGCCUGUCUGAGCCAUGGAUGCAAGGCCCCCCCCCCCCCCCCAGCUGCUCCGAGAAGGUUCUAGGGACUUUAUCUCUCUGUAGCUCUCAAAGGAGGGCCAUCCACACAGAAGGCAUGUGGCUCCGAGUAAGGCUGGGGGGGGGGGGGGGGGGGAUGGAGACGAUACUGGUUCAAGCCCCAGCUCUGCCCCUGAUGGAUGAGUCGUGUGACCCUGGGCCAGUCAGUUGGCUUCAUAUAAGAGCUCCUGAACUGGUCUUCCAGCAUCGGAGUUGAGAGGAGCACUCAGGGGUCAUCGAGGCCCACUUGGACUGCAAAAAGGAGACCUGGCAGGUGGCCCUCCAGCCCCCGUGCAGAGACAUCCAGGGACGGGCGCCCCUGGGUCCCCCAGGCAGCCCCUUCCAUUCGCGGGCCGCCGUGCUGGCUCUCGUGAGCACCACGCCUGGGCGAGGCAUUCGCUGACAAUCUUCUAGUGAUUUUACCAGGAAUCGGACUCAGAUUUGUUGGCCUCUAGUCCGUGGGUUUUAGCUUUGUU
ensembl:lncRNA